AUGGCGACCGGCGCACGGGUGAGUAACACGUAUCCAACCUGCCGAUAACUCGGGGAUAGCCUUUCGAAAGAAAGAUUGAUACCCGAUGGUAUAAUCAGACCGCAUGGUUUGAUUAUUAAAGAAUUUCGGUUAUCGAUGGGGAUGCGUUCCAUUAGGCAGUUGGUGAGGUAACGGCUCACCAAACCUUCGAUGGAUAGGGGUUCUGAGAGGAAGGUCCCCCACAUUGGAACUGAGACACGGUCCAA
rnacentral:rRNA from 1 species